rnacentral:rRNA from 1 species
GACAGAGGGUGCAAACGUUGCUCGGAAUCACUGGGCGUAAAGGGCGUGUAGGCGGGAAGGAAAGUCAGAUGUGAAAUCCCCUGGGCUCAACCCAGGAACUGCAUUUGAAACUCCCUUUCUUGAGUGUCGGAGAGGAAAGCGGAAUUCCUGGUGUAGAGGUGAAAUUCGUAGAUAUCAGGAGGAACACCGGUGGCGAAGGCGGCUUUCUGGACGACAACUGACGCUGGAGACGCGAAAGCGUGGGGAGCGAACAGG